UGAAUACACAAAAUAAAUCUGAUCUGCCAUAUUUAUUCGCUCUGGCUCAAAAUCAAAUGUUAAAUUAUCGCAAAUCCCUUCAGUGCUCAUACUACUCAUACUACAACCCACACUAGUCCUAAGAAGGGAAACAGUAUUAAUGCCGAUGCGAAAGAAGGAGCACCAGCAGAAAGCUGUCCUCUUCACUGCAUUGCAACUGAAGGGAAUUUUAAGUCGUCCAGAAGCCCAAAUGCUGCUGAUCGGUUUAUCAAAAGGUGAAAUUUCUAAACAUGACUAGUCAAUCCCCGUUUGAUUCAUCGCGAUCGUGAAGCCAUUAUGUGGAACUUACAUAAACAUAUGGUUUACAUAUGGUCAACAGCAACAGCAACAAAUUCUGCAAACCUUAGCUGCUGAGCAACAACAGCAUACACAAUAUUCAAGGUACAUCUUAUAAUCGGAAUCGGCGGACAUCGCUUAGAAACUAUGGACAAUAUUCUCUAUGAUUCUAAUGGUUUAGUAGAUAAUCCCCACCAGCAACCCCAACAAAGCAGUGUAAUGCAGGAAGUAGUUUUGUGUAUUUACGCAGUAUUCCUACCUAUAGCGGACAAUUUCAGCGCAGACGUUUCCCUGGGCCUAACACA